ACUUAAAUGAUCAGUCCCAAAUAGGACGAAACACUCGUCCUAGAU
rnacentral:hammerhead_ribozyme from 1 species